AUAAAUGUAAACAAUGAGAAUUAAAAUCAGUAAACAAUGAGAAUUAAAAUCAGUAAACCUAUCACCAUUCACUUCCUUUCUUCUUUCACGCUCGAUCAUCCUUCUCUCUCUCACUCUCGAUCUCUUACCAUCUCGCCACUCUCGAUCGCUCUAUCUCACACCUCUCUCGCUCAUGUCAUCUCUCAAUCUCAACCUCAUUCACAAACUUUCACUCUACAUGCCAGAAAAACAAAAUGCUUUAAAGAGAUUCAAGCAGUAAAACUCACCUUCGGCGGUGGUCCGGUGGUAAUGACGAUGCUUGGAUCUUCCUCCCGUCGCCGCUCAACUCUUCUAGCUCUAGGGCUUUCGCUCUCUGAAAACUUUAGGUUUUUUUUGUGGCUGAUUGAAGUUAGGUUUUUCGUCGCCGCUCCUAAAAAACCCUCCUUUUUUUCUACAGCAUCCGCCUCUUUUUAUACCCAAUCAGUUAGGGUUUUCGAGCUAGCUAUGGAGAUUAAAAAGGGAAACCUCUUGGAAGUGCUUUUAGGUGCUCAGCUUUGCCUGUCUCGCUUGAUACUUAAAUCUGGAAACGGUAAUAUGAACUUAGCUUUCUUCCUCUAACUUUGUCUCAAUUCUCUUUUGGGUUAUUUUUUGAACUUUACAGCCUUUGCUAAUUACUUGGUUUUACUGUAGUAAAAAUUGGUGAAAAGAAACACUUCGGUUAUUUGCAAAGCUCAACUAUUGCUACUACCAUGAACUUCUAGGUGUGAAGAAGUGCUAGCUAUCAAGGAUGAAAAUCAGUUCCGUUAUAAGCUAAUGUUAAUGUUAAGUCUCAUUACAUUGUCUUACUUAACUGUUAGUGCAGAAUUUCUUAUUAAUUGGAAAUUUUGUUCAACUAUGAGGAAUUAUUCUUACUGUUAUGCUUAUUAAUCUCUGCAGGUUAGUAGGUGUUGCCGGUUGAAUGUGUUGUUGCUAAUGUGUUUGGUGUUGGCUAUUGUGCCUGAAAUUGGGCUUGAAAUUGUUCAGGUUUUGGAUACUGAUUGGGUAAUAGGAUUGUGUAUAGAUGGAAUUAGAAAUGAUUGUAAUUUUGAACAUAUUUGUUUCAGGAAUGAAUAGGAAGUUUGCAGGUUAUUGGUUAGUUUGGGAAUUUCGGCUUGGAUGCGGUUACGAAGCGCAUUGGAUGGCGGGGCUGUUUUGGAAUUCUGCAAAGCUUCUUCAUGUUCCACGACUUCAAUAGAUGAAUUGAUCGAGCGACAAGCAGCAGCAGCGGAUUUAACUUUUAGCUGACCAAUAUAUGCUUCCGUGUGUAUAAUCUGUCUAUGCAUAUUAUUCAACUCAAACUUGUCAUGAUCAAGAACAUUGUAUCUAUGAAUCAUGUGAGGUUCUAAUCCAUUUGUAGCGUACCGUAAAGUUUUAAAAUGCCGGAGAUUAGCUUUAGUGCCUCAAAUUUGUAGUUUCCGUUUGUUUAUGGUUGUUUGUAAUUAGGUGCCUAGUAUAAUCCUUAAAUUUUUGUAGCUGUAUAGCUUUAUAAUAUGAAGCGUGAUUAUUCUAUUCCAUCUCACAAUGUCUAUCAUGGAUUAAAUAAGAAACAAAAGAAUUAUAAAUAUGUUGAUACAGACAUCCCAAAAGAAUAAGUCAUGACUGCCUAUGUUAUAUAAAUAAUAUAUAUCGUGUUACAUACAAGCAAAAAUCAAUCAAUUCAUGUAAUCACACAUAGAAAAAGAAAUUUUGAAUGUUAAUUCUAACACUACUAGCACAGUAUAAUUAUAAUAUAAUAAAAGAUAUGCUUUAAGUUGUUUGACUUUUCAAUUACUACUAAUGCAAGGCUACAUUGGCUUAACAUGAAUGCAUUUGAAUGCCAUGCUUAUGUGUAUCAGUUUUGGUUCUUGCUUGGAGAACAAGAAAUGUAUAAAGAGGAAAUCGAGGAAAUUAGAAUCAACAUGAGGUUGAAAUAGAAUAGGUCUUAGAGCUUAGAAAAAAACUGACUUUACUUUGGUUAAAGUGAUAUUUUUUGCAAACACAAUGAUUGUACACAUAUAUAUAAAAAUGGUUCUUUUAUUUCAACAAAGAGAAAGCUUUAAUUUCAAAUGAUAUUUUGCUACCGACUUAACAUAUGAAUUGCUAGUCAGAAAUUUGCACCAUGACCUUGAAUGGAUAAUACAUAUGAAAUUGUCAUGAAUGUAUGCAAAUGAACUUUAGGCCGAAGGCCGAAUGAAAAAUUUUCAGGACCAAAAUCGGGGUAUGACAGUUGCCCCUAUUUAAGUAUCUUCAACUAGAGAAUAUGAAGCAGGACACUCUUCAUAUGAUCAUAGUGGGAGAUAGUUAAAUACUAAGAAGACCCGGAUUUUGAUCCUGAAUCCCUAUGACAUGAUGUGAUAUGAUAUGAUAUGAUAUGAUAUGAUAUGAUAUGCAUGGAUGAUUGAUUUUUUUUAUUAUUAUUAUUAUUAUUUUUUUUUUUUAUUUUUUUUUAUUUUUUUUUAUUUUUUUUGCUAGGGAUAUGGUGGACCCUUGACAGGAGAUGCUACUAGACAGACCAAUCUGUGGUGGAAUGCUGAUGAUCCACAGGGAGACAGACAAAUGGUGAGAAAGAACUUGCUGGGGAAACAGUCCUGCUGGAGAAUCAGACACACACUGGGGAGUAUUCAAAGUGAGAUUUGAUAAACGGCACUUAGAAUACAACCGAAUAAAGAAAAAGAUGUUAUGACAAGUUCAUAUAAGACCUGACAACGCUGGGGAAUAAUCAAGGAGAAAACUCUUCAGAACAGGUUCAUGUAUGACCUGAUACCGGAAUAGGGGUUCAACAAACAGGUUCAUACAUGACCUGAAUGGGUAUUGAACAAAGAAUCUUCAGAGUAGGUUCAAGCAUGACCAGACCCCGGAAUAAAGAGGUUCAAUGACAGGUUCGUAUAAGACCUGAAUAGGAUUGAACAAAGAAUCUUCAGAGCAGGUUCAAGCAUGACCGGACCCCGGAAUAAAAAGGUUCAAUGACAGGUUCGUAUAAGACCUGAAUAGGAUUGAACAAAGAAUCUUCAGAGUAGGUUCAAGCAUGACCGGACCCCGGAAUAAAAAGGUUCAAUGACAGGUUCGUAUAAGACCUGAAUAGGAUUGAACAAAGAAUCUUCAGAGUAGGUUCAAGCAUGACCGGACCCCGGAAUAAAAAGGUUCAAUGACAGGUUCGUAUAAGACCUGAAUAGGAUUGAACAAAGAAUCUUCAGAGUAGGUUCAAGCAUGACCGGACCCCGGAAUAAAAAGGUUCAAUGACAGGUUCGUAUAAGACCUGAAUAGGAUUGAACAAAGAAUCUUCAGAGUAGGUUCAAGCAUGACCGGACCCCGGAAUAAAAAGGUUCAAUGACAGGUUCGUAUAAGACCUGAAUAGGAUUGAACAAAGAAUCUUCAGAGUAGGUUCAAGCAUGACCGGACCCCGGAAUAAAAAGGUUCAAUGACAGGUUCGUAUAAGACCUGAAUAGGAUUGAACAAAGAAUCUUCAGAGUAGGUUCAAGCAUGACCGGACCCCGGAAUAAAAAGGUUCAAUGACAGGUUCGUAUAAGACCUGAAUAGGAUUGAACAAAGAAUCUUCAGAGUAGGUUCAAGCAUGACCGGACCCCGGAAUAAAAAGGUUCAAUGACAGGUUCGUAUAAGACCUGAAUAGGAUUGAACAAAGAAUCUUCAGAGUAGGUUCAAGCAUGACCGGACCCCGGAAUAAAAAGGUUCAAUGACAGGUUCGUAUAAGACCUGAAUAGGAUUGAACAAAGAAUCUUCAGAGUAGGUUCAAGGAUGACCUGACCCCGGAAUAAAAGGGUUCAAUGACAGGUUCGUAUAAGACCUGAAUAGGAUUGAACAAAGAAUCUUCAGAGUAGGUUCAAGGAUGACCUGACCCCGGAAUAAAAAGGUUCAAUGACAGGUUCGUAUAAGACCUGAAUAGGAUUGAACAAAGAAUCUUCAGAGUAGGUUCAAGCAUGACCGGACCCCGGAAUAACAACAAUUGGACUUGAAAAUGACCAGGAAAACCGGAUGUUGGUUUAGGGAUACCAAAGACAAGCUGGAAUUAGAGGUCAAAGGAUCUAGGAUUGACACCAAGACCUAGGCCAAUGCAAAAUGAGCACGAAGUACAUUUCGGCUAUGCAUGAUUUGAAUUUCCUUUUAUGCAUGAUAUAUGAAUGAUCAUGAUUAUGAGAAUGCUGACACUGGGCAGACUGGGAGUUUGUAAAGGCUUUUUAUGGAAGCUCAUGAUUCCUCAACACCGAGAACUCAACCAAAUAUUUGUGAUAGAUGUUGUCAAAGGAGAAUUCUAUCCAGCUUGAUAGCCACAACUUAGCCAAUGAGAUCCUUUUUAAGGAUCAACGAAUCGUGCUAGCAUAGUUUUCGGGCACUCGUCUUGAACUCAAUAAUUGUUGACGCAUGGCAGAAUUUGUUUGAAUAGUUUGAAAGCAUGAAGGGGGUCUGCCCCUCUGUGGCUCAUCUUGCCCCAGUUUGUUGGGUCUUUGGAAAUGUUCACCUUGAAAGUGAGUUUGGAAACAAAUUGCCAUGAGACUACCUCGAGAUGGCUUGCCCCAAGUGUUUGAAACUUGCGAUGGUCCGCACUUGACUAACCAAAUGUUGGAAUGGCAGACUCUUGGUUGACUGUCCUUUGGAUAGUUGGACUCAUUGAGCUCUGAGGUGGCUUGCCCCGGUCUAAGUCUUGAAGCAAAUUACUCUUGGCUAACUGAACCAUGGAGUGAUUGGACUUACUGAGCUUCGAGGUGGCUUGCCCCGGUCUGAUUCUUGAAGCAAAUUACUCUUGGCUAGAUGACCUUUAGGGUGAUUAGCUCGAAUUAACUGAUGCUCAAAGUGAUUUGCCCCCGAAUAGACUUCUUUCACUCCAUCUAGUUCCUCAACUGUGUAUUGAAUUUCUUUGAUGCUAAGUGUUGACUCGCAAAUAAGAUUGUUCAUUCAAAAAUGGUAAUUUUAAUUCAAUGCUUAUGCAAAAAUUUGAAAUCAAAAUUUAUUGAUAUGAACGGGUAAAAUACAGUGAACGAGUCGUUGAUAAGAACACAAUGGUGAUCAAGUCAUUCACAGUAUACAAGUUGGUGCUAUCAAAUGAUUAACAAAAAUCGUUUGGAGUCAAGUUAACACAACCUUGUUAUAGUAUGCUUUCAAAAUAAACCCUGCCUCAAUUAGGUCUUUUAAGGGUUGUAACGUGGUCUGGUUCACGCUUUUUUUUGAAACAAAAGGAUAUAAGGCUCAAAAUUUAUUUUUACCCACCCCUUCUUCUUGAUGAUCUCCAGUUCCUAUGUUCAGUUAAUUCAAUACACGCAUUCGACUUCCAAGAGGGUUCGAAGGUGUGAUGAGGAUUCAAGACGAAUUUUCUUGAAAUGGCAGUCACCUUUUUUUUUUGUUUUGUUGAGGAUUUUGGUGACCUCUUUUGAUUGAUUUUCUUUAUCCCUAAUUUUGCCUGGACCGCUUCUUUGAAGCUUUCGGUCCAUCGGGAUGCCCUGACUUUUGCCUAAGUCAUUUUGUGGUAUUUGAUUUAGCGGGCUUUUUUUUUUUAUUUUUUAAAGGUAUUGACUGCCACAUUAUUGGUGGAUAAGGAUCAACCAACACUAAUUUUAGCUUUUCUUAACUUCUUCGACACUUCAACAUGUGCGCGAAGGAUAACAUGUGGUUGAACCUAAUUGGAGGGUGUUCAUAUGGACGAUUUUUUUUGAAAGAUCGAAUGCACGAUCAAACUAUCUGAACACAACUACCCUGCCCCAGGUUAAGAUUAAGGGUUUUAGAUCCGAAAUAAACACCAACUUCUAGGCUCAAAGUGGUUGACUAGGGAUUAACUCCUUAUCUCUUCAGUGUUUGGGGAUUUGAAACAAUGCCUUACAUCAUCGACAAGGUUUUACUCAAAAGCAUACCACAACAAUUUCAGGUGUUUCGUUUUCAUCAUCCUCCUUCCAAUCUUUGUUAACACAACGGUUUGAUAAACAAAAGUGAAUGAGAGCAGUAUUUUUGUUUUUGUUUUUUAACAUAAAUGAAAAACGAGUGAAUACGAAUGGAUUAAUUCAAAAGAUGCAUAAACAUUUCAUUAAUCUUACCAAUUCAAAGAAAACAACAAUGCUUAAAAGCAAUUAACAAUCAACAUGCAAGGAAACUACAAAAGAAAUGCUGAGACAGCCAAAUGAUUGCCAGCUUUAGGGAAUUGACUUCUUCAAACUUGAAGGUUGGGAUCAACAAGCUUUUUGACAUUGGCAUGAUGAUCUUCAAAUUCCUUUCCUUCAAUCUCAUCGUUGAACGCAACCCUCUUGAAUCCACUACUCACUUCUCCUUUUCUUUCAUUGGUAUGGGUCGUGACAUUGGAAAUCCAAGGCGGUAUCUCAAUGCUCUUACCAGGAAACAAUGAUAGCUCAUUAGCCACAUCCCUGACAUCUUCCUUGUGGAACAAAACCUUGAGGGGUUUCAAGGGUCCUUUCCCUUUCUCAUUACCUGGCCCAGAAAUCAAGGUAUAUGUACCUGAGCCUUCCUCCUUGAGUGUUGGUGACCUUAUGUCAAUCAAUCUUUGCAGCUUGAGCUUAAAACUCUUGCAUUCCUCGAUGGAGUGCCCCAUUGUUCCAGUAUGGUAUCCGCACUUGAUCUUCGGGUGAUCUUCUUCAAAGACUAAGCUCUUCUUGUUAAUCAGUCCUUGUACCAAAUAUUUUAGCGCACAGCAAGAAUCUAGGUCAUGUCCCAAUGCCCCUUUAUGGAAUUCACACGUUGCAUUUGGAUUGUACCAUGGUAGGUAUGGUGACACAGGUGUGAGAGCUCGAGGGGUCACCAAAGCAUUUUGGAUCAGUUGCGGGUAGAGCUUGCUAUAUGGCACCGGAAUCGAGUCAUUUUGAUCCUGGUUCUUCUUGCUCUGAUUCUGAUUUUUGUUUUGAACCUGACUUCGGUGAUUUUGAGGAGGAAUAGCCAGAUACUGUUGAUGAUGACGUCUUGAGGGAGGUCUAUAUACUGGUAAAUAAGGGGUUGUCACAUAGGAUUUCCCCUGACUUGGGGUAACACUAGAUGGAUGUGGAGUAGUAGCUCUCUUUGUUGCAGUAGUGUAUAUUGGAUGACCCUCUUUUCUCAACAAGACUUGCAGGGUUUCCAAGACCCAUCUCAUUUGGCUCUUCAAAAGAUUAAGUUCCUCCUUCAAUACUUCUUGACUUUUGCUUAGCUCGUCCAUCAUCUCUUGAGACAUGGUUCUUUGUUCUAAACGCGUGUUAGGAAUCACUUUGCUUGAACAUGGACAAAGGAUGGAUGAGUUUUUUUUUGUAUUUUUGGAAAAUGAUAUGAAAUGCAUGAUGACGAAUGCAUAUGCAACGGUAUAUGAAUGGAUGCAAUGCAUUGUUUUUGUGUUUUGAUAUGCAAAUAAAAUGCAAUCCAGGUAGUUAUGAUUUGGGAUAAUGUGAGUAACUCAGAACAUCUUACUAGGUAGGCUCCUUAACAGAUAGUUCUAGGUUUUCUACCCAUAAACCCACUCACAGGAUAGUUUCUACGUUUUUGAUAAGGUUCCCAGAGUCAUGGACCAUAAUCGUAUCAACAUCAUGCAACAGGCUAGCCGUUUUAUGACAAGAGUGACGCAAGGUCUCUUCUGAGCGGAGUUUUCAUGUUGGGUGCAAAAAGGAGAGGCCCUUGGAGUCCAUCAUUACGCAACCACCAAAGCAGGAACUGGUUCUAAGAGGGGCUCCUAGAGUCAUGGACCCUUCAUGAAUCAACAUUAUGCAACAGGCUAGCUGUCUUAUAAAGAGAUCUACAAACAGGUCUACUCUAGGGGAGUCUUCAUGCUAGACACGCAAGGAGUGGCCCUUGGGGACUAACACUACACAACUUCCAAUUCUAACUUAUGUGUUCUCUCUUCUUUUUCCAAAGCUCGGGUGUAGAGCUUUAUUCAUGAUAUCAAAAUCCCAACACCCACACAUAUAUAUAUAUAUAUAUAAUCAUAUAUAAAAAUGCAAUAAAACAGAGAUAAAAAGAGCAUAUAACAAAGAAAAAUAAACAAAUAAAGCUAACACACAUACGAAAAAACCUAACUAAACUAGGGUUGACUCACUUAGGGAUGUUCCUGUCCCCAGCAGAGUCGCCAUCUGUCGCACCUCGAAGAAAUGGGGAUACGACUUUAAAGCGAAGCGCGAUCGCACGCUCGCAAUGAUGGACUGAACAGAGUCGCCACCGAACUUUAUUUAUUCCUAAAAAGGAAAGGGGAAAUAUCGAUAAAACCCAAGACAAAAGAAAGGAUAAGAUAUGGUCAUCGCAACCAAUAUCAGGGUUCGGGAGUCGAUUACGCAAGGGGAAGGUAUUAGCACCCCUCACGUCCGUUGUACUCAACGGGAACCAUUAAGUUAGUUUCGUUCUGAAUGUUAGCUUAUGUUAGUCUUCUUAAGUUAUAAUGAGAGAGAGAAAGAAUAGAAGAUAGAAGAAAUGUUUUUGGAUUUUUGACGAAGGACUAAACCUAAGUUUUUUAUUAGUGGGCCUGACAAGAUUUAUAAAUCCUGCUCCUACGUAUCUCAAAAGAGAAAUCAAGGCUUACGUAGUUCUGGGUAGAAAAAUGUUUGUUUGUUGGUCGAUUUUAGCGAAAGCUAUAUUGUAUUAAUCGACAAAAACAUCGUUUUACCCAAAACAGAUGAGGAGUGGACGCAUACCACACAUCGAACGGAUUUAUAGAUCUACAUUCGGAAAAGCGUCACUUAUCUCGACUCAACAAUUGUGGCCGAAACAUUGUUUUGUAUCACUUAAGACAAGAUACCUCUCGUUUAUGAAAAGGUUUUUGAUUAGUCGCACAACGGCGAGAAAAGGAGUUUGAUUGGUUGGAUGUAUUUUGAGUGAUGGCGAGAACUUGGAUGAGCGAGAUAUACAUCUCGAAUCCUAGCCUCAGGAGUGCAUGGUAUACACCAUGUUCCAUUUCCAUCUUUAUUGAAAGAGUUUAAGAUAGAAAUUAAGUAUAUGUUUUUGAGUUUGAAAUACGGAUAUUUAAGAAUGAGGCAUAAGCCCUAAGAUCAAAAUUUCAGGGUUCCACUGGAAUGCUAGAUUCCAAUGGUCCUUUCUUAUUCGAAUUAUUUAAGAAAAAAUAUUUGGACAACGAACACUUGAUGAGAAUCAACUAUUCAAAGGGUUACGCCAGAAUGCUUGAUCCCAACGGUCCUUCUCCUUGUCCAAGUUAAUUAAUGUGUUUUAAAAAGAAUGAACAGUUAAUCCAAAACGCGUGGUUCAAGACCGAUCAUUCAAGGGUUCCUACCGGAAUGCUAGAUUCCAAUAGUCCACUUCUUUUGAGUUAUUCAUAAAAGGUUUUAAUAUUUUAACUUAAAUAGUAAAGUGUUUUAAUUGGGAUAAGAAACAAACUAAUCAGAUUAAAAUGUAUAAUUUGGGGUAGGAUCAAAGUUUAAAAAAAUAGUCAUAAGUAUUUUAUUAUAUUAAUUAGUCAACAUCAUUACUAGAUAUUUAUUUAAUUAUUUAUUCGUAAUAUUCUAACAAUAAUAAAUAAAACUACAAAGAAAAUGAUAUUAUAUGAAAAUAAUAAUUCUAGAGUUAUUCAAACAUUUAGAGAAAAUAGCAAGAAAUUAAGUUGGAGAAAAAUACAAUUAUAUUCUUUUUAGGUCUAGUAAAAUAAAGUGAGAAAAUAAGAUCAACUUAAUAUUAGACACAUGCAGAUUAUUUUUAUUUAAAAAAGUCUGAUAAUAAAACAAUUAAAUACUUUUUUAUAACAACAACAAAAAAUAAAUUAAACAUAACCUUUUUAUUUUUUAUAACAUAAUCUAAUGAUAAUAAUAAAUAUAUUUAAAUUAACCUUUUUUAUAUUUUUAUAACAUAAUUUAAAAUAAUGAUGAAAAUAACUAAAUUAAAUAUAUUUUUUUUUAAAAAAAAAUUCUUAUAACAGAAUCUAAAAAUAAUAAUCAAACUAACUAAAUUAAUCCUUAUUUAAUAUUUAUUAUAACAAUCUAAAAAUAAUGGUGAAAACGACUAAAUUAAUUUUUUUAAUGUUUUUUAUAACAUGAUCUAAAACUAAUGAUGAAAAUAACUAAAUUAAAUUUUUUUAUAAUUUUUAUAACAUAAUCUAAAUUAAAAUAAAAUAAAAGGUAAAAUUAUUUUUUUGAAUUUUUAUAACAUGAUCUAGAAAUAAAUGGUAAACUUAAUUUUUGAUUUUUAUGACAUAAUAUAAAAUAAAAAUAAAAUAAAUAUUGAACUUAAUUUUUUUUGAAAUUUAUGACAUAAUCUAAUAAUAAUGAAAAUAACUAAGUUAAUUUUUAAAAUAUUUUACAACAUAAUCUAAAAUACAAAAUAAUAAAUAGAAAACUCUUUUUGUAAUUUUUAUUAAUAUGACUUAUAUGUAUUUAUGUAUUUAUUUUUAUUUUAAAAAAAAUAACAAAAGAAUAAGUUGAUUUAAAUGUUUUAAGAAACAAAGAAAAUAAAAUAAACGGUUAAUCGAAAAUGCAAAGCUUAUGACCGAGUAUUCGAGGGUUCCCACCGGAAUGCUAGAUUCCAAUGGUCCUCUUCUUUAUAGUAACUUUUGAAAAUAUUUAAUAUUUUGACUUAAAUGAUAAGAUGAUUUAAUCGGGAAAAAAAUAUUUAAUCGAAUUUUUUAAAAAACAUGUUAUUGGGCCAAAAUUCUUAUUCUAUCUAUUCGAUCAAUAUCAUCGUACAAUUAUUUAUUUAAAUAGCAACCCAAAAAUAAAUAAAAAAGUAGAUAUUUUAAUUAAAUCAUAGAAUGAAUGAUAAAAAUAAUUUAGAAAUCAAAACUAAUUAAAUAAUCUAAUUAAUAAUAGUAACAAUUAAUUAAUGAUGACCAAAUAACUAAAUUAUUAAAAAACAAUUAAAAGAAAUAAUGAAAAAAAUCUUUUUAUUAUUCUGAUUUUAAUAUAUUUUUACCAACGGUUAUAUUUUAAAAUAAAGAAGAAAAUAAGAAAAUUUCUAAGCAUCCAUUAAUUAAAAAUAGAUAUAAUAUAAAAUUGUUUUUGUUUUUAUUUUUUACUUUCUCUUUUAACUAAAAAAAAAUAAACCAAAUAAUAAAAUAAAUAGAAAUCAAGUCAUAAAUGUUAUUCUUUCCUAUGAACAGGCAACUGAAUAUUUAGUGAUUUUCAAAAGACCAAAUGAACAGUAAAUCUUCACGUGAUUCUUGGAAGAAGAAGAAAAGUGCAUUAAAUAAUAUUGAAAAUAGAAUAAAUGUAAAUAAUGAGAAUUAAAAUCAGUAAACCUAUCACCAUUCACUUCCUUUCUUCUUUCACGCUCAAUCAUCCUUCUCUCUCUCACUUUCGAUCUCUUACCAUCUCGCCACUCUCGAUCGCUCUAUCUCACACCUCUCUCGCUCAUGUCAUCUCUCAAUCUCAACCUUAUUCACAAACUUUCACUCUACAUGCCAAAAAAACAAAAUGCUUUAAAGAGAUUCAAGCAGUAAAACUCACCUUCGGCGGUGGUCCGACGGUAAUGACGAUGCUUGGAUCUUCCUCCCGUCGCCGCUCAACUCUUCUAGCUUUAGGGUUUUCGCUCUCUGAAAACUUUAGGGUUUUUUUUGUGGCUGAUUGAAGUUAGGUUUUUCGUCGCCGCUCCUAAAAAACCCUCCUUUUUUCCUACAGCAUCCGCCUCUUUUUAUACCCAAUCAGUUAGGGUUUUCGAGCUAGCUAUGGAGAUUAAAAAGGGAAACCUCUUGGAAGUGCUUUUAGGUGCUCAGCUUUGCCUGUCUCGCUUGAUACUUAAAUCUGGAAACGGUAAUAUGAACUUAGCUUUCUUCCUCUAACUUUGUCUCAAUUCUCUUUUGGGUUAUUUUUUGAACUUUACAGCCUUUGCUAAUUACUUGGUUUUACUGUAGUAAAAAUUGGUGAAAAGAAACACUUCGGUUAUUUGCAAAGCUCAACUAUUGCUACUACCAUGAACUUCUAGGUGUGAAGAAGUGCUAGCUAUCAAGGAUGAAAAUCAGUUCCGUUAUAAGCUAAUGUUAAUGUUAAGUCUCAUUACAUUGUCUUACUUAACUGUUAGUGCAGAAUUUCUUAUUAAUUGGAAAUUUUGUUCAACUAUGAGGAAUUAUUCUUACUGUUAUGCUUAUUAAUCUCUGCAGGUUAGUAGGUGUUGCCGGUUGAAUGUGUUGUUGCUAAUGUGUUUGNNN
rnacentral:lncRNA from 1 species